rnacentral:rRNA from 1 species
GACGAACGCUGGCGGCGUGCUUAACACAUGCAAGUCGUACGGUAAGGCCCUUUCGGGGGUACACGAGUGGCGAACGGGUGAGUAACACGUGAGUAACCUGCCCACAACUUUGGGAUAACGCUAGGAAACUGGUGCUAAUACUGGAUAUGUGCUCCUGCUGCAUGGUGGGGGUUGGAAAGCUCCGGCGGUUGUGGAUGGACUCGCGGCCUAUCAGCUUGUUGGUGGGGUAGUGGCCUACCAAGGCGGCGACGGGUAGCCGGCCUGAGAGGGUGACCGGCCACAUUGGGACUGAGAUACGGCCCAGACUCCUACGGGAGGCAGCAGUGGGGAAUAUUGCACAAUGGGCGUAAGCCUGAUGCAGCAACGCCGCGUGCGGGAGGACGGCCUUCGGGUUGUAAACCGCUUUCAGCAGGGACGAAGCUUUUUGUGACGGUACCUGCAGAAGAAGCACCGGCUAACUACGUG